rnacentral:rRNA from 1 species
UACGGAGGGUGCGAGCGUUGUCCGGAUUUAUUGGGUUUAAAGGGUGCGUAGGCGGCCGUCUAAGUCCGGGGUGAAAGCCCGUUGCUCAACAACGGAACUGCCCUGGAUACUGGCCGGCUUGAGUCCAGGCGAGGUUGGCGGAAUGGACGGAGUAGCGGUGAAAUGCAUAGAUACCGGCCAGACCCCCGAUUGCGAAGGCAGCUGACUAGGCUGGUACUGACGCUGAGGCACGACAGCGUGGGGAGCGAACAGG